CGCGGUAAUUUGACCGUGCGAAGGUAGCAUAGUCAGUAGUCUUUUAAUUGAAGGCUUGAAUGAAUGGUUGGACGAGGGAUAAGCUGUCUCUUUUAUAUGUGCUUGAAUUUAACUUUUGAGUGAAAAGGCUCAAAUUGUUUAAUGGGACGAUAAGACCCUAUAAAACUUAAUAUAAGUUGAUCUUGAUUUGUGAUUUGGGUGAAAAAUGAUUUUGCUUGGCUUAUAUUUCGUUGGGGAGAUGAAGAUAUAAAAUGUAACUGUCUGUGAAAUUUAAUAGUGUUAAUUAGUUUUUGAUCCUUCUUUGUGGAUUAAGAGAAUAAGUUACUUUAGGGAUAACAGCGUGAUUUUCUUUGAGAGUUCUUAUCGACAAGAGUAGUUGCGACCUCGAUGUUGAAUUAAAGUUUCAGCUAGGUGUAGCCGUCUAGCUAGUGGGUCUGUUCG
rnacentral:rRNA from 1 species